rnacentral:misc_RNA from 1 species
GAAAAGGUUCUCUAUUGACUGGUAUCUUUAUUUCACAUUCUUUUUGAUUCAUCAAAUCUAUACCUAUAGAAUUUGAUAAUCGGCUGUUCUGUAGAAAUGAAGAAAGAAAAUUUGUUGAACUUAAUAUCAAAAUAAAAUAACGAAUCCCAAAAAUAGUUGAUUUAUAUUUAUGGUUCCACAUUUUAUUUACAUGCAAUAAAAUACCUCAAAAGGUUUAAAGAUAAGAACCGCGUUUUACUUCAGGAAAUGAAAAACUUCAAUCCCCGUUCGAUUCACUUGGCAAACUUGGAUAAAAAAUAG